CUACGGGUCCCAGUAGCUUACAAUAAAGCAUGGCACUGAAGAUGCCAAGAUGGUUACUACACAUAACCCACGGACA
rnacentral:tRNA from 1 species